AAAUUGAAGAGUUUGAUCAUGGCUCAGAUUGAACGCUGGCGGCAGGCCUAACACAUGCAAGUCGAACGGUAACAGAGAGCAGCUUGCUGCUUUGCUGACGAGUGGCGGACGGGUGAGUAAUGUCUGGGAAACUGCCUGAUGGAGGGGGAUAACUACUGGAAACGGUGGCUAAUACCGCAUAACGUCGCAAGACCAAAGAGGGGGACCUUCGGGCCUCUUGCCAUCAGAUGUGCCCAGAUGGGAUUAGCUUGUUGGUGAGGUAACGGCUCACCAAGGCGACGAUCCCUAGCUGGUCUGAGAGGAUGACCAGCCACACUGGAACUGAGACACGGUCCAGACUCCUACGGGAGGCAGCAGUGGGGAAUAUUGCACAAUGGGCGCAAGCCUGAUGCAGCCAUGCCGCGUGUAUGAAGAAGGCCUUCGGGUUGUAAAGUACUUUCAGCGGGGAGGAAGGUGUUGUGGUUAAUAACCGCAGCAAUUGACGUUACCCGCAGAAGAAGCACCGGCUAACUCCGUGCCAGCAGCCGCGGUAAUACGGAGGGUGCAAGCGUUAAUCGGAAUUACUGGGCGUAAAGCGCACGCAGGCGGUCUGUCAAGUCGGAUGUGAAAUCCCCGGGCUCAACCUGGGAACUGCAUUCGAAACUGGCAGGCUUGAGUCUUGUAGAGGGGGGUAGAAUUCCAGGUGUAGCGGUGAAAUGCGUAGAGAUCUGGAGGAAUACCGGUGGCGAAGGCGGCCCCCUGGACAAAGACUGACGCUCAGGUGCGAAAGCGUGGGGAGCAAACAGGAUUAGAUACCCUGGUAGUCCACGCCGUAAACGAUGUCUACUUGGAGGCUGUGCCCUUGAGGCGUGGCUUCCGGAGCUAACGCGUUAAGUAGACCGCCUGGGGAGUACGGCCGCAAGGUUAAAACUCAAAUGAAUUGACGGGGGCCCGCACAAGCGGUGGAGCAUGUGGUUUAAUUCGAUGCAACGCGAAGAACCUUACCUGGUCUUGACAUCCACAGAAGUUUGCAGAGAUGCGAAUGUGCCUUCGGGAACUGUGAGACAGGUGCUGCAUGGCUGUCGUCAGCUCGUGUUGUGAAAUGUUGGGUUAAG
rnacentral:rRNA from 1 species